UACGUAGGGUGCUAGCGUUGUUCGGAAUCAUUGGGCGUAAAGCGCGUGUAGGUGGUUUGGUAAGUCAGGUGUGAAAUCCCUGGGCUCAACCGAGGAAGUGCACUUGAAACUACCAAGCUAGAGGACAGUAGAGGAAGGUGGAAUUCCUAGUGUAGAGGUGAAAUUCGUAGAUAUUAGGAGGAAUACCUGUGGCGAAGGCGGCCUUCUGGGCUGUUCCUGACACUGAGACGCGAAAGCGUGGGUAGCAAACAGG
rnacentral:rRNA from 1 species